GCGGCCGCAGACCGAGCCCCGGGCGCGGCAAGAGGCGGCGGGAGCCGGUGGCGGCUCGGCAUCAUGCGUCGAGGGCGUCUGCUGGAGAUCGCCCUGGGAUUUACCGUGCUUUUAGCGUCCUACACGAGCCAUGGGGCGGACGCCAAUUUGGAGGCUGGGAACGUGAAGGAAACCAGAGCCAGUCGGGCCAAGAGAAGAGGCGGUGGAGGACACGACGCGCUUAAAGGGAUUGCUCCUGUAUAUAAAGGACGUGGGGAUUUAAUUCUGUGGCUGAAGAUCUGCAGAGAGGUGUGAGGCCUGGUCAGACAUUUGUCUCAUUUCUCUGGGCUGUCACCAACUAGUGUGUUCCCUUGGGAAUGUGAAAAAAGAAACUAAGCUUUACUUUGUUGCUUAACAGGAUGCCACACUUUUACUCACACUUGUGCUUUUUCUCUCUGGUUUUAAAUUUGUUUGUGAUUAUAGAGAGAUACCUCUCUGUGCUC
rnacentral:lncRNA from 1 species